AAAUGUCUUUUAACCCUAAGUUUCUAAAUUGAUAAAUUAUGAAAUCACUUUUUGAAGUUUUUAAAGAUUGUUAUUACUUUUAAAUAUGUGAUAGACCUAUGUACUCAGUAUUUAGAUGUAAAGUGUUAUUUUUGUAUCAUAUUUGCCUCAUAAUAUUUUAAUAUAAAAACUAAAAUAUUACCGACCUAGUUAAAGCACCUGCCUUAUCUCACUCUUUUCUUCCCCGCUUGAACCAUUAUCCUGACGAUGUUUCUUCUCUCUGUGCAUGAUUAUGUAUUUCGUUACCUAUUUAUGUCCCCUAAAAUAGGUAGUACCAUUCUGUGUGUUUAUAAAAUUUACAUAAUUGCUGUCAUACUGUAAAUAUUCUUUUGCAAUUUAUUUUCACCCAGCACUGUAUUUUUGAGAUCAGCCAUCGUGAUACUUACAGAUGUAGCUCAUUCUUGGUGACUGUUUUAUAGAGUACUACUACAGGAAUAUACCAGAGUUCCCUUCUUUACUGAAAGACAUUUAAAUUUUUUCCAAGUUUAAACAAUACCACAAUAAAAGAUCUGCAGCUGCCUCCUGUAGACAUGUAUGAGAGCUCUCUGACAUCUAGGGUUAGAAUUGUUCGGAGAAACAAAACGCACGUAUUUAACUCCUCUACUUUUCUAAAUGGGCAUUCCAAUUUUCACUUCCACCAACAGUGCCUGACAGAGUCCGUUCCCCUAUAGCCUCACUUAUGGCUUGUAUGAAUAGACUCACGUGUUUGUCAGUCUGAUAGGCGGGAAUGGGAACUUAUUGAUUAGGUUUUCCUCAUCCUUAUUACUGUUGAGUUUGAGCAUAUGUAUGUGUAUAUAUUUCAUACGUUUCUUAGCCCUUAUGGCUCUGCUUCUGUGAAUUGCUGUGUGUCUUUCAUCUAUGUUCCAUGGAGUUCUUUGUCUUUACUCAUUGAACUGUGGGAGUUUUGUUUAAUUUUUAAUAAAUUAUUUUAAAUAAAUUCUAUUUAGAGAUCUCUUGCAAAACGUUCUUCCUAAUUUGCUAUUAAAAUUUUUUAAUUUUAAUAUUUUGAAAUAGAUUAAAGUUUUCCUUUCUUAUUUAUACAUUUAAUCCCUGAUUAAGAAAUCCUUCCUUAUAAAGGGUCAGAAAUAUAUUGUGCUCUAUGUUCUUGUAAGUUGUUAAAGUUUUGCUGUUUACGUUUUCAUCUUUAAUCCAUCUGGACGUUAUUUUUAGAAAGAAUUGGGGGAUCUAUUUUCUUUUUUCCAGAUGGCAUCCAGUUUUACCAGUACCAUUUAUAAAGGUCCAUCGUUUCUCCACUGAUUUUUAAGCCUUUCCCUGUUAUAUCACACUAAAUGUUGACCCCAUAAGAAAGCAGUGUAUCCUUUUGCUGGCCAGGUUCAUUCCUGACCUAUUAGAGUAUACGGUCUGCACAGUAUUGAUAUUUUGCUUUCAGUGAAAUGUGCUUGGUGAUCUAGUGCAGUACAUGGUAAUGUGUUAAAACUACUCCAUUUUUGCUUAAAAUAACAUGUAUUCUUUAAAUAUUGGGUGCUUGAUUUUAUAUAUGUCCAUUAACAAAGAUCCAGAGUGAUCUUUAUUUAGUCUGCUUCUUCUCUAUAUUAGAUGAGGAAUUAAAAGCACUGUUACAUUAUUUUUCAUUUUUUUAUUUGCUUUGUCCUUAAUUUUUAUACUCUAAAUUCUGUUAAAGUCUAUUUUAAGUCACAUUUAAUAAAUCUCAUACUAAAUCCAAUACUCGGAUAAUAAUGUUUCUUUUCUCACCUAAACUUAAUUAUGCAUACAGUGUCCAGGAAGAUCCUGAAGGCAUAAAAUGUGGAGCAUCUGUAGUAGUAUUGUCACCAACAUUCCUUGAAAAUUCCCAAUAACUGCCAUUGCGUUCAGUCUUGAGUACACCACAUAAUAUGACAACAGACCCUAAGCUCAAAAGAACUGCGAUUCGCUACUUGAGGAGGAAAGGAAAACAUGCACAUGCGUGUAAAUAUAUUCUCCAAAGUGCUGAGUAAUCAGCCAAGUUUGGAUCAAUCAAAAUAUUGUUCAUGGAGGAUGUUAGAAUCAAACUAAGUCCCCAUGAAGAGUAGGAUUUGGAUAAGCAGAAGACACUAGAGAAUAUCUUAUAGGAAGAAACCAGCAUGUUAAACUGUGGAGGAAAAAUAAGUUUCGCAAAUAUUUUGUGAAAAAUGAAUAUGGCACUAGUGUGCUGAUCAGAGUUUCUCUCCAUAUAUACUGUAGGCUUGGGUGAGCAUUCCAAUAAGGCGACUUGCGUAUACAGCCUUGCUGUUCAAGCGUUUGAUCUUAUUCUAGUAGAAAGGGCAGUGAUCACUGAACAUAGAGAAGAUAAACAGUACUUUUCCUUCACAAACGUUAAUCUAGAAGUUGUGCAUGUUUGAUUGAGAGGGAGAAAUUUUAUAAAUCUUCAUUAAUUUUAUUUAACAAACAUUUUGUAGCCAUUGCCAUCUGUUUGAUACUGUUUUAAGUAUUAUUCUCAUACUAGCUCAUUAACUAUUUAAUUCUCAUAGGGUCCCAUAAGAUAAUAGUGUUCUCUCAAUAUUUUUAUAUGAGAAAAUAAAGAUUAUAAAGUUGAGGGGUGUAUAUAUGCACUCUGGUCAACAGUGUGUUCUCCUACAGUACCCAUCAGCACCCCAUGGAUGUAUCAAUGAUAUCUUAGGCUCUGUUUUCUUCAUUUUAAAGCCCGUAUAAGAUGCAGAGAUGCAAUUCUAGACUAUGAGGUUGAAAGAACCAUUUUUUUUUUUUAGUACAAAACCAGUUUAGGGCCGGGCUGGUGGCGCAGCGGUUAAGUUCACACGUUCUACUUCUCGGGGGCCUGGGGUUCGCUGGUUCGGAUCCCAGGUGUGGACAUGGCAUGGCUUGGCAAAAGCCAUGCUGUGGUAGGCGUCCCACAUAUAAAGUAGAGGAAGAUGGGCACGGAUGUUAGCUCAGGGUCAGUCUUCUUCAGCAAAAGAGGAGGAUUGACAGUAGUUAGCUCAGGGCUAAUCUUCCUAAAAGAAAAAAAAAAAAA
ensembl:lncRNA